rnacentral:lncRNA from 1 species
UACUUAGUAGAAUAUAUAUUAGAUACAAACAAUACAAAGAUCAGAUCAAAUAUCAAAGAUGAUGAUGAUGAUGAAGAAGAAGCACAAGAGCUGUUUGAUGUCAAUAAACUUGGUUGUUCUCCCUAAUGAGAUCAUUGAAGAUAUACUCACAAGACUCCCAGUUAAGUCUCUUCUUCGAUUCAAGUGUGUAUCCAAAUCAUGGUGUCAAUUAUUUACAACCGAUUCUUUUAUUAGAAACCAUUUUCUUCGUUGGAGCAACAACCCCAAACUCAUGUUACUUCAUAUCACUCCUGAACAACUUUCAUCAGACCAGUUAGGUGCUGGAGCUAUUGUGUAUUCAUUACAAUAUUAUGGUAAAAGACAUCAUCAGCAAAUUCUUGCUGAGAUUCCCAGUUCAAGUAGUUUAGAUAUUCGAAUGUUUUACGGUUCUUGUAAUGGAUUGGUAUGCGUGUGCAGCAACAACACCAUAUACUUGUGGAAUCCAUCUACUAGAGUAUACAAGGUAGUAAAACUCAACAUACCUGGACCUCUUCAUACUUAUGGAUCCGAAUGUUGGUGUCAAUUUACUACUUAUGGUUUUGGUUACAAUAAAAUUGCUAAGGAUUAUGAGCUUAUUAAAAUCAAUGCCUACUAUAAACCAAAUCGUUUCUCGCGCUCCAGUGGAAAAUCUUUCUCGCGCUUCAGUAUUUACUCCUUACGCAAUAAUUCAUGGGGACCUUUUCAAGACAUGGCACCUUACAGAGUAAUGACACCAACAAAGGGGGAACUUAUUAAUGAUGCUCUUCAUUGGGUAGGGUCUAAAUCCAACUCAGUAAUUGCUUUUGACAUUGCCAAUAGAAAGUUUCAGGAGUUUUCAAUGCCCACAAACGAUGAACAUUCUUUUUUGCCUAUUAAUCCUAUUAUUAGUGUUGUAUCCAUGAAUGAGUGUCUCUCCGUAGCGCUCGUAUGUGAAGAUUGGAUUGAGGUGUGGAUGAUGAAGGACUAUGGUGUGAAGGAUUCCUGGACCAAGGUGAUUAAGAUUGAUGCUCGAAUAUUCACUCAUGGCCCAUACGCCAUGUUAAAAUGCUUUGCAAUGAAUAUUGCUACACACAGAAUGAGUGAUCAUGAUAUGGGCACCUAUGCUCUUGACGGGUUCUUGAGAAAAUUAGGAGGAGGCAACCGCAUGGUAGAGGAAGUCAUUCCCCAGUCUUCCUCAACAACAAUCUACACCGAAAGCCUCGCCCUACUGCAAUGACAUAACGAUGUUUGACAGUUUUGAUUGAAGCCAGUUUACUUUAAAAAUUGUUUCUUUCUCUGAGGGUUUUUCACAGUUUCACUACAACAACCUUAAAUAGUUUACACAGUUUCACUACAACAACCUUAAAUAGUUUCACAGUUUCUUUUUCGAAUCCCGCCAGCAUUACCGAGUUACUGAUCUCAUUAAAAACAGGCUUACCACCAAAUUUUUUUGCAGGUGUCAGUUGGGCUCAACUGGUAAAAUCUCUGGGUGAUGAUACCAGAGGUCUGGGGUUCGAAUCCCGCCAGCAUUACCGAGUUACUGAUCUCAUUAAAAACAGGCUUACCAAACCAUUUCGGGGUAGGGGACCCUGUCAACAACCCCGCUUGCCUAUCAAAAAAAAAAAAAAACCUUAAAUAGUUUACACUAGCUUUAUAUAAAAGGUUAACUUGUAAUUGUACUUGCUACUUACUUUAUCUAAUUUUAAAUGUUAUUGGCUGGAAUUAAUUUGGUGCUUAA